AUAGCAUAUAUCGUCACCUAAAAUGCAAAAUAACGUAACAUCACUUUUAAUAAGUUUACAGGCGAAGGAAAAACGUUAUAAUAGAAACCACUCAUAUUGAAACAAAAUUUGAGUAUUGGUUAUAAAAUGGUUAUAAAUUGGUUAUGUUUUGGUUAUAAAAUGAUUAUAUAUUGGUUAUCAUACACUCAUAAAAUGGUUAUAUAUUGGUUAUCAUUCACUCAUAUUCAAACAAAAUUUGAGUUUUGGUUAUAAAAUGGUUAUAAAUUGGUUAUGUUUUGGUUAUAAAAUGGUUAUAUAUUGGUUAUCAUACACUCAUAAAAUGGUUAUAUAUUGGUUAUAUAUUGGUUAUCA